ensembl:lncRNA
CCAGAUUUGUAAAGGAAGAGACUCUUCCAAACAUCUCUGGGACGUGCUUAAAGCAAGAUUCUAGAACAUCAACCAUACCCACUCUUUCUUAAGAGUGCUGUUUCUUCAGCCAUAUUCCUUCGUGCUCAGGAAAGAUCUUCAAAAAAGUAUCCCACAGCUUCUUCACUGCUCAGUCAUGAGUCUUGUUCCCAUAACAGUGCUUAUGACACUGUUAGCCCUGAGAGGAGCCGGAGCCCAGUCAGUGACCCAGCCUGACAGCCACAUCACUGUCUCUGAAGGAGCCGUCUGGAGCUGAGGUGCAACUACUCAUCUCCUGUUUCACCGUAUCUCUUCUGUCUAAUUGUAGACCUCUACUGUGUCUAGUCAAGGCAAUGGUUUUUCCAGUAGUCAUGUAUGGAUGUAAGAGUUGGACCGUGAAGAAAGCUGAGCGCCGAAGAAUUGAUGCUUUUGAACUGUUGUGUUGGAGAAGACUCUUGAGAGUCCCUUGGACUGCAAGGAGAUCCAAGAAGUCCAUCCUAAAGGAGAUCAGUCCUGGGUGUUCAUUGAAAGGACUGAUGCUGAAGCUGAAACUCCAGUACUUUGGCCACCUCAAGCGAAGAACUGACUCAUUGGAAAAAACUCUG